AACGAACGCUGGCGGCAGGCUUAACACAUGCAAGUCGAACGCCCCGCAAGGGGAGUGGCAGACGGGUGAGUAACGCGUGGGAACAUACCCUUUUCUACGGAAUAGCUCUGGGAAACUGGAAUUAAUACCGUAUACGCCCUACGGGGGAAAGAUUUAUCGGGGAAGGAUUGGCCCGCGUUGGAUUAGCUAGUUGGUGGGGUAAAGGCCUACCAAGGCGACGAUCCAUAGCUGGUCUGAGAGGAUGAUCAGCCACAUUGGGACUGAGACACGGCCCAAACUCCUCGGGGGGGCAGCAGGGGGGAAUAUUGGACAAUGGGCGCAAGCCUGAUCCAGCCAUGCCGGGUGAGUGAUGAAGGCCUUGGGGUUGUAAAGCUCUUUCACCGAUGAAGAUAAUGACGGUAGUCGGAGAAGAAGCCCCGGCUAACUUCGU
rnacentral:rRNA from 1 species